GAUGAACGCUGGCGGCGUGCCUAAUACAUGCAAGUCGAGCGAACGGACGAGAAGCUUGCUUCUCUGAUGUUAGCGGCGGACGGGUGAGUAACACGUGGAUAACCUACCUAUAAGACUGGGAUAACUUCGGGAAACCGGAGCUAAGACCGGAUAAUAUUUUGAACCGCAUGGUUCAAAAGUGAAAGACGGUCUUGCUGUCACUUAUAGAUGGAUCCGCGCUGCAUUAGCUAGUUGGUAAGGUAACGGCUUACCAAGGCAACGAUGCAUAGCCGACCUGAGAGGGUGAUAGGCCACACUGGAACGGAGACACGGUCCAGACUCCUACGGGAGGCAGCAGUAGGGAAUCUUCCGCAAUGGGCGAAAGCCUGACGGAGCAACGCCGCGUGAGUGAUGAAGGUCUUCGGAUCGUAAAACUCUGUUAUUAGGGAAGAACAUAUGUGUAAGUAACUGUGCACAUCUUGACGGUACCUAAUCAGAAAGCCACGGCUAACUACGUG
rnacentral:rRNA from 1 species